rnacentral:rRNA from 1 species
CCUACGGGCGGCAGCAGUGGGGGAUAUUGGGCAAUGGGCGCAAGCCUGACCCAGCAACGCCGCGUGAAGGAAGAAGGCUUUCGGGUUGUAAACUUCUUUUCUCAGGGACGAAGCAAGUGACGGUACCUGAGGAAUAAGCCACGGCUAACUACGUGCCAGCAGCCGCGGUAAUACGUAGGGGGCAAGCGUUAUCCGGAUUUACUGGGUGUAAAGGGCGUGUAGGCGGGACUGCAAGUCAGAUGUGAAAACCACGGGCUCAACCUGUGGCCUGCAUUUGAAACUGUAGUUCUUGAGUGCUGGAGAGGCAGACGGAAUUCCUAGUGUAGCGGUGAAAUGCGUAGAUAUUAGGAGGAACACCAGUGGCGAAGGCGGUCUGCUGGACAGCAACUGACGUUGAGGCGCGAAAGCGUGGGGAGCAAACAGGAUUAGAUACCCUUGUAGUC